ensembl:lincRNA
CCUUAUUGAAGCGGCUUCAUCUUGCUAGCUGCUGAAAAUGGCUUUAACCAUCCCUCUGAACAAAAGCACCCCUAAUAAGACAACAAAAAGCCCAAAGCAAUGGCCCAGCGGCAUCGCGCUCUGGCGCAGAGCGAGCCUGCUAAGGCGGCAGCUUUCUCCUUGCAUGUAAUUAGAUGAAUUAAAAGGACAAAGUGGUUAAUGUAACUGUUGUCCGGGGGGCCCCCAGCCCUUUUCAUCCCAUCCAUUUCAGACAAGAGCCUGUGGCUUUUGCUUCAGCAAUGCGGAGAAGAAUGUUGGCGGGGAGGGAAAUUAACAAGCUUAAUCUAUGAGGAAUCUGCUCCGUGUCAUGGAUGAAAUGUAUCUCGAGCAACGAAAGGCUAGUCAUUCCUGCUUCCCUUUUAUAUGCCUAAUAAAACUUACAAUAAAUUAACUGCAUUUUAGUUUGCAGCCAGGCUCUGUUAAUCAGGGAUGAGGCUUCGGGUAGUCAAGUUACAAGAAGGCUUCAGCGGGUGCAUGUCAGCUAUGCGGUCGGGCGGGUUGGCCCCACUCUCAUUAGCCUGGCUUCCCACGUUGACAUUUCAGGUACGGGUUCACUGUUGGGUUUCGCGUCUUUUGUAACGGGGAGUGAGAAGGAAGGUGUAUGUUAUCCAUCCAAUUCACCUGACUGAGGGGCACUGGGACCCUUGGAGUGAAAUCUCUCCAAGAUAAAUAGAUUCCUUAUAGCUCUUCAUCUAAUUGAUAUCAGGGUGUUUCCUUGAUAACUUUGUGCAUUGUUUAUUUUCUGUGAGUGCCUCCUACUCUUCAUACUGUCCUAUUAGGAAUGCUGCCACCAUGGCAACAUCAAUUUUUCAUGCGGGCCCUUAGUAUCAUUCUCCGUAGAACUUUCGGAUAAUGCUUCCAUGGGGUUCCUUAACCGAGAAACUCCAGAAAAGGCGGUGACAUCAGCAAAAGGGAGCCAACUCCUUCCCCGUCUGCCAUUUUGUACUCUUGGCCUAACGUUGACUCAAAACAGCAACUUGGAGCCUUCCCUGACCUGUUGUAACUACUUGGUUAGUGUAAAGCAGAGAGGAGAAUUAGGAGAGGCAGAUGGCAGAGAGGUCUGCCAUGGAAGAUUCAUGGAUGACAGGAGAGGCUGUGUUCCAGAAUGCAAGGAAGAAGAGCCCAAGGACCGUAGCAAGGCCCUGAUUCUGGGAGACAAGAGAACACGCUGA